UGCUCGCCCAGUAAAAGGGAUCUGGGCAGGGCACCGCCAGUACUGACUGCACCUACCAACCUGUGAUAUAUUCUGAUGUUUCUUUCCCCUCUCCGCUCCUUUCCCCUCAUCUUUCGUCUUCCCUUUCCCCUUCUUCCCCCUCCCCCCUUCCCCUUCCUUCUGUUUAUUCCCACUAAAUUGAUUUCAUUAAUUUACUGAAUUAGUGGGGACAAGAUAGAGUAUUCAAUAUAUGGUGCUGGAAUAAUUGGCUGUUUAUGUAGAAAAUAAAGCAAAAUUAUAUCCCUCAUCUACACACACACACACACACACACACAUUCAUGGAUGAGUCAAAGUCUAAAUGUGUUUAUUCUAGCCUCUCUUCUCUUCCUCCUCCCCCUCCAUUCUGUUCAUUGCCUACUAAAAUUGAUCUCAUUAUCUGUUAAUGGGUGAAAACCUCAAGUUUUAGAAACACCGUUCUGAGAUUUGCCUAGAAGAGGAAUUGCCAAGGAUAUGCACAGCAUCUACAUUGGAAGAUACUACCUGGCUUUGCAAAACAGUUUUUACUGAUUUAUUUUUCUGCCAGGCAAUCACAUCACCUAUAAAUAAGAAGAGGUUUGAGGUUUCCUUCUCAAGUUUGAUGCUUCUCAUUUUAAUUUUUUAUUAGCUCCAGGUUCAUCAUUAUGGGAACCUCCUUCCCACGGAAUAUUCUCUGAUGGAGAGCCAAGAAAAUGGUCACCUCAAUCUACAGAUCAUAUCCAGAGAAGACAAAUUGCUAACCUAAAGCCACAUAGCAUCAUCUCAGGAAAUAAAUCUGGGACUUCUGAUUCCCAGAUCACUGUUUUCUUUGAGAUCAUUGAAAGACAGAUAUAAUUGAUUGAACAAAAUGCAUGAACUAUGCAAAAUGGAAGGUGUUGCAAGUUCCAAUGAAUAUAGCAAAGCAAUACAAAAGCAGCCUGAGAUCAGGAAUAUAGGCAGGAAAUAGCCAGAUGUGGUUCAGAUUGGAGAAGGAGAACCCAAAACAUCUGGGGGACAAUAAUUUGAAACAGAUACUCUUCUGGAGAAAGAGAUCUGGAAAGCAAUAGUAGGGUGAGAGCCUUAGUGGGUAGUGGGCUAACACAGUUAAGACAAAUGGGGUCUCUAAUGCUUGUGCAGUGGUCAAACCUGGCUAAUUGAAUUUGGAAGCCACAGAAGGUCAAUGGAUACAAAGAGAGGAUGCGAUUCUUAGAGUCUAUGUGUCUGAUGCCAUGUUCCUCCAGUCCUUCCUGGCUGUGCACUCAGAUCUCUCUAACUAGAAGGGAAAGUCAUAGAUUCCCUGCUAAUGAAGACAAAGCAGGGUUCUGAAAAAAAUUGAUCCUCUCAGUCCCCAGGGAAGCCGGAGCCCCUGGGCCAGUUCUUCAUGCUAUACCCAAUCUCUCUUUUCACUCUAAAGAGCAUUCAAAUAUUAUCAUUGUCUCUGAGUGCCAUACAUUUAAAAAGGUUAGGACCCACAGGCCUAGAAGACACACCCUCUGCUUGUUCUUCUUUCUAAAUAUUAUCGGUAAACAUUUUAACAUCAAAUAUUGUACACAUAUGAGAAGAGCCCAAAUAAUAGAUUUCCAACUUUAUGAAUUAUAUUAACUGAACAUACCUGUUUAACCAGCCCCCAGAUUAAGAUGUUGAACAUCACCAGAACUCUAAAAGCACUUCCCCUCACCCACUAUGGUAAUAUCUUCUUCUGAUCGCUACUCACCCGCUAACAGCAUGGAUCAGUUUUGCCUGAUCUUGAACUUUAUAUAUAGUUUUUACACCUGGCUUCUUUCAUUCAACAUUGUGUUUGUGAGUUUCAUGUAUGUGUUACAUUGUUAUACAUCUCCUAUUUUCAUUAUAGUGUAGUAUUCUAUUGGUAUUAUUAUUAGUAUAUUUAUAUAUAAAUAUAUAAAUAUUAGUAUUUAUUAUUAUUAGUAGUAGUAGUAUAUAGUAUUCCAUAGUAUAGUAUUCCCUUGUAUAAAUAUAUUCAGUUUGGGUUUGUCAUGAAAAUUUAUGUUCUUCUGGUGAGCAUAUGUACACAUUUCUUUUAACCAGCUUUUAAGAGUCUUUCAAGAUAACCUGCUUGUAUUUCCUUUACGUGUCUGAGGUUUCAUGGGCUCAAAACACAUUUAAUUAUUUUUCCUCUCUCUAUUUCUUGAAAAAAAGAUGAAAACAGCCAAUCAUGACUAUGAAUUAUUAUUCUCAACUGAGGCCAGAUCUUUAUGUACUUGAUCAGAAGCAUUAUUAUACAGGCUUAUUUAUAAGCAUACUGUGAGAAGCCU